AUAGCGUAUAUUAAAGUUGUUGCAGUUAAAAAGCUCGUAGUUGAACUUCUGUCUAGCUUUAUUUCGACUCGUCGAAUAAAGCUGGACAUACGUCUGCAAACUAAAAUCGGCCUUUACUGGUUCGACUUAGGGAGUAGACAUUUUACUGUGAAAAAAUUAGAGUGUUUAAGGCAGGUACUAGCCUGAAUACAUUAGCAUGGAAUAAUGGAAUAGGACUAAGUCCAUUUUAUUGGUUCUUGGAUUUGGUAAUGAUUAAUAGGGACAGUUGGGGGCAUUAGUAUUUAAUAGUCAGAGGUGAAAUUCUUGGAUUUAUUAAGGACUAACUAAUG
rnacentral:rRNA from 1 species